rnacentral:rRNA from 1 species
GUGACUUAGUGUUUACGGCCGUGGUAUCUUAACCAUGCGAAGGUAGCGUAAUCACUUGUCUUUUAAAUGAAGACCCGUAUGAAUGGCAAAACGAGGGCUUAACUGUCUCCCUUCCCUAGUCAAUGAAAUUAACUUCCCCGUGCAGAGGCGGGGAUAAAAAUAUAAGACGAGAAGACCCUGUGGAGCUUUAAACAUAGAAUAAUUAUAUUUAAUAAACUUCAUUACGAGUAAAACCUUAAUAAAACUUAUUUGAGUGUUUUUGGUUGGGGUGACCACGGGGUAAAACACAACCCCCAUGAAGAUAGGGGCCACACUCCCUAACACUCAGAAUCACCUUUCUAAGUAACAAAACCUUUGACUUUAAUAUGAUCCGGCUAUUGGCCGAUUAACGAACUCAGUUACCCCAGGGAUAACAGCGCAAUCCCCUCUCAGAGCCCCUAUCGACAAGGGGGUUUACGACCUCGAUGUUGGAUC